rnacentral:rRNA from 1 species
UACGAAGGGGGCUAGCGUUGUUCGGAAUCACUGGGCGUAAAGCGCACGUAGGCGGAUUUUUAAGUCAGGGGUGAAAUCCCGAGGCUCAACCUCGGAACUGCCUUUGAUACUGGAGAUCUUGAGUCCGGAAGAGGUAAGUGGAACUGCGAGUGUGGAGGUGAAAUUCGUAGAUAUUCGCAAGAACACCAGUGGCGAAGGCGGCUUACUGGUCCGGAACUGACGCUGAGGUGCGAAAGCGUGGGGAGCAAACAGG